GAGCGGCAGCGGAAGUAGCUUGCUACUUUGCCGGCGAGCGGCGGACGGGUGAGUAAUGUCUGGGAAACUGCCUGAUGGAGGGGGAUAACUACUGGAAACGGUAGCUAAUACCGCAUGACCUCGAAAGAGCAAAGUGGGGGAUCUUCGGACCUCACGCCAUCGGAUGUGCCCAGAUGGGAUUAGCUAGUAGGUGAGGUAAUGGCUCACCUAGGCGACGAUCCCUAGCUGGUCUGAGAGGAUGACCAGCCACACUGGAACUGAGACACGGUCCAGACUCCUACGGGAGGCAGCAGU
rnacentral:rRNA from 1 species